GUGAGUCAUCGAAUCUUUGAACGCAACUUGCGCUCUCUGGUAUUCCGGAGAGCAUGCCUGUUUGAGUGUCAUGAAAUCUCAACCAUUAGGGUUUCUUAAUGGCUUGGAUUUGGGUGUUGCCAGUCUCUUGGCUCACCUUAAAGGAGUUAGCGAGUUUAACAAUGUCGUCUGGCGUAAUAAGUUUCGCUGGUAAGACUUGUGAAGUUUGCUUCUAAUCGUCUUCGGACAAUUACUUUGACUCUGGCCUCAAAUCAGGUAGGACUACCCGCUGAACUUAAGCAUAUCAAUAAGCGGAGGA
rnacentral:misc_RNA from 1 species